UACGAAGGGGGCUAGCGUUGCUCGGAAUUACUGGGCGUAAAGGGAGCGUAGGCGGACAUUUAAGUCAGGGGUGAAAUCCCAGAGCUCAACUCUGGAACUGCCUUUGAUACUGGGUGUCUUGAGUGUGAGAGGGGUAUGUGGAACUCCGAGCGUAGAGGUGAAAUUCGUAGAUAUUCGGAAGAACACCAGUGGCGAAGGCGACAUACUGGCUCAUUACUGACGCUGAGGCUCGAAAGCGUGGGGAGCAAACAGG
rnacentral:rRNA from 1 species